rnacentral:lncRNA from 1 species
UAAAUGCAUAAAUGUAUAAAUGGUUAUGCUGUACAUCACAUAGUAAAAUGCUAUGAGAGAGAGUUCAGGAAAAAAUUUGUUUAAAUUAUUUUAAAUUUACUUUAUCAUUCCAGAUAAUUCAUUGUUUUAAAUUGAAUACAAAUUAAAUAGGUUAAAAGGAUGCAGUAUAUGUUCUCUAUUUUAGGAUAAAAAUAGAAAAAAUAUCUGUACACUUUUUUAGAUGAAACAGACUGUAGGUGUGUAUUCUCAAAGCUAAUGGGAUUACUGUAUUGUUUAAGAUUAGGGUCCCUAUAUUCUUUUAAAAUCACAUCCUUUUUCUCAUAGAGAGAAACUUGCAAUCCUUACAUACUUGCAGAAGUGCCGAAGGAUUUUGAGCAUCCUGUCUGAUGGAAGCAGUAGAGAGAACAGGUUCUGCAGUCUUUAGUUAUGAUUUCUUCGUGCAGUUAAUGCCUGGAAGCUGACCAGAGUUAAGUUUGCUAUAGAACACUAUGAAGUAAUCUUAAACUAGCAGAAGUAUUAUUGUAAUUUCCAAUAUUUAGAGCUGUACGAGAUCUAAAAUAAGGGUAUUUUGCAGUCACUAAACUCUUUGUACUUGGUUUAUAAAUUAAACUUGUUUUUGUUACCUGUUGAUCUCCCAGUCAACUUCCGUGUUCUAAUGUGUUGGUGAAGGUGUUCUAUACAUACCAGUGUGCCCAAAGCACAGUUUUGCAGUCUUACAGGUGAUGAUGAAUGCUUUUCUCUCUCUCUCUCUCUCUUUUUUUUUUUUUAAUCUGUAGAGUUUUCAUAGAAUUUCCCUUUGAUACUUCUCAGAACAUGAAGUCUCCCUCACCUUUCCACCACAGGAAAAAAUGGUGCUGA